rnacentral:pre_miRNA from 1 species
CUGGAUGGGUUUGAAUUUAGUCCACGUUAUUUUACUUUUACUCGUGACUAGAUCCAUACUCAUCCAAG